GCUCAUUAAAACAGUUAUAGUUUAUUUGAUGGUCUUUACUACAUGGAUAACCGUGGUAAUUCUAUGGCUAAUACAUGCGCACAUGCCUCUUCCCCUGGAAGGGCAGUGUUUAUUAGAUACAGAACCAACCCACCUUCCGGUGGUCCUCAGGUGAUUCAUAGUAACCGAACGGAUCGCGUUGACUUCGGUCUGCGACGGAUCAUUCAAGUUUCUGACCUAUCAGCUUUCGACGGUACUGUAUUGGACUACCGUGGCAA
rnacentral:rRNA from 1 species